GAGCCCUCAGCAAGGGACCAGAAGAAAUUUAGUCUCGAGGAAAAAUCCAAAUCUUCCAAGAAGCGUGUCCAUUAUAUGAAGUUUGCGAAAGGUAAGGAUCUCUCUUCCCGCAGUGAAGAUGAUCUGUCCUGCAUCUUUGGGAAGCGACAGAAGAAUAUGAAGGCACAGUUAAUUAAACCACGAGGCUGAAAGACAUGUAGACAAAUGAAGAACUGCCCUGUCUUGUCUGCCACUGUGGAUAACAGU